GAUGAACGCUGGCGGCGUGCCUAAUACAUGCAAGUCGAGCGAACGGACGAGAAGCUUGCUUCUCUGAGGUUAGCGGCGGACGGGUGAGUAACACGUGGAUAACCUACCUAUAAGACUGGGAUAACUUCGGGAAACCGGAGCUAAUACCGGAUAAUAUUUUGAACCGCAUGGUUCAAAAGUGAAAGACGGUCUUGCUGUCACAUAUAGAUGGAUCCGCGCUGCAUUAGCUAGUUGGUAAGGUAACGGCUUACCAAGGCAACGAUGCAUAGCCGACCUGAGAGGGUGAUCGGCCACACUGGAACUGAGACACGGUCCAGACUCCUACGGGAGGCAGCAGUAGGGAAUCUUCCGCAAUGGGCGAAAGCCUGACGGAGCAACGCCGCGUGAGUGAUGAAGGUCUUCGGAUCUUAAAACUCUGUUAUUAGGGAAGAAAAUAUGUGUAAGUAACUAUGCACAUCUUGACGGUACCUAAUCAGAAAGCCACGGCUAACUCCGUG
rnacentral:rRNA from 1 species